rnacentral:rRNA from 1 species
AGCGAACGCUGGCGGCAGGCCUAACACAUGCAAGUCGAACGGAUCCUUCGGGUCUAGUGGCGCACGGGUGCGUAACACGUGGGAAUCUGCCCUUGGGUUCGGAAUAACAGUUAGAAAUGACUGCUAAUACCGGAUGAUGACUUCGGUCCAAAGAUUUAUCGCCCAGGGAUGAGCCCGCGUAGGAUUAGCUUGUUGGUGAGGUAAAAGCUCACCAAGGCGACGAUCCUUAGCUGGUCUGAGAGGAUGAUCAGCCACACUGGGACUGAGACACGGCCCAGACUCCUACGGGAGGCAGCAGUGGGGAAUAUUGGACAAUGGGCGAAAGCCUGAUCCAGCAAUGCCGCGUGAGUGAUGAAGGCCUUAGGGUUGUAAAGCUCUUUUACCCGGGAUGAUAAUGACAGUACCGGGAGAAUAAGCCCCGGCUAACUCCGUGCCAGCAGCCGCGGUAACAC